rnacentral:rRNA from 1 species
UUUAAAGAGAGUUUGAUCCUGGCUCAGGACGAACGCUGGCGGCGUGCCUAAUACAUGCAAGUCGAACGAACGGAGGAAGAGCUUGCUCUUCCAAAGUUAGUGGCGGACGGGUGAGUAACACGUGGGCAACCUGCCUGUAAGUUGGGGAUAACUCCGGGAAACCGGGGCUAAUACCGAAUAAUAAGUGGUGGCGCAUGCCACGGCUUUGAAAGAUGGUUUCGGCUAUCGCUUACAGAUGGGCCCGCGGUGCAUUAGCUAGUUGGUAGGGUAAUGGCCUACCAAGGCAACGAUGCAUAGCCGACCUGAGAGGGUGAUCGGCCACACUGGGACUGAGACACGGCCCAGACUCCUACGGGAGGCAGCAGUAGGGAAUCUUCCGCAAUGGACGAAAGUCUGACGGAGCAACGCCGCGUGUAUGAAGAAGGUUUUCGGAUCGUAAAGUACUGUUGUUAGAGAAGAACAAGGAUAAGAGUAACU